UAAUUUUGAAAUUAAUUCAUAUAUUCGCUCAUUUUCCUUCUCUAGUAACGAUUACGCUGUCCCUCUCUUUCGCACCCACGGCCCCGGGGUAUAUACAAUCGUACAUACCUAUCUAUAUGUAUACAUACAACUAAAUAUGUAUGUCCGUAUUGCAAAUUCACAAAGUUAAGCGGAAAUUACUGUGGCAGUUGGAGUCUUAAUAUCUUAGAAGUUAAGACAAUUAG